rnacentral:rRNA from 1 species
GUGUCAGCCGCCGCGGUAAAACCAGCACCUCAAGUGGUCAGGAGGAUUAUUGGGCCUAAAGCAUCCGUAGCCGGCUAUGUUAGUUUUCGGUUAAAUCCAUGUGCUCAACACAUGGGCUGUCGAGAAUACUGUAUAGCUAGGGAGUGGGAGAGGUAGACGGUACUCGGUAGGAAGGGGUAAAAUCCUUUGAUCUAUCGAUGACCACCAGUGGCGAAGGCGGUCUACCAGAACACGUCCGACGGUGAGGGAUGAAAGCUGGGGGAGCAAACCGGAUUAGAUACCCGGGUAGUCCCAGCUGUAAACUAUGCAAACUCAGUGAUGCAUUGGCUUGUGGCCAGUGCAGUGCCGCAGAGAAGUCGUUAAGUUUGCCGCCUGGGAAGUACGUACGCAAGUAUGAAACUUAAAGGAAUUGGCGGGGGAGCACCACAAGGGGUGAAGCCUGCGGUUCAAUUGGAGUCAACGCCUGAAAUCUUACCCGGAGAGACAGCAGAAUGAAGGUCAAGCUGAAGACUUUACCAGACAAGCUGAGAAGUGGUGCAUGGCCGUCGCCAGCUCGUGCCGUGAGAUGUCCUGUUAAGUCAGGUAACGAGCGAGAUCCCUGCCUCUAGUUGCCACCAUUACUCUCAGGAGUAGUGGGGCGAAUUAGCGGGACUGCCGCAGUUAAUGCGGAGGAAGGAGGGGGCCACGGCAGGUCAGUAUGCCCUGAAACUCUGGGGCCACACGCGGGCUGCAAUGGUAGUGACAGUGAGUUCCUAAUCCGAAAGGAGGAGGUAAUCUUCAAACGCUACCACAGUUAUGAUUGAGGGCUGCAACUCGCCCUCAUGAAUAUGGAAUCCCUAGUAACUGCGUGUCAUUACCGCGCGGUGAAUACGUCCCUGCUCCUUGCACACACCGCCCGUC